rnacentral:lncRNA from 9 species
CCAGAGUCUACACUCUGGCCUCCUUAAUCCCGAGGGAAAAUGUCAAUUGACAUUUAUCAUUUAGCUUGAGCAGCUGUUUUUCCUCUAGCACAGACAUUUUAGUCCCUACCCACAUGUUUACUCCAAAGUGGGCAAACAAAGAGACAGCCAGAGCCUUGUUUUUCUCACCCCCCAAGUGCUGUGACGGCGUUUGCAUUUCCUGCUUUGCUCAGGCCGGCGGCUGAGUUUGCAAACUUUGCUAUUGACAAAGACUCUGGUCUCCCUCCCUGCCUUCUCUCCCCCUCACCUCUUUCUCCAUUGUACCCUCUCCUCCCACCUUCGGUUCACUUGAAGACUAGUGUUUAUGGCAUUGCUGUGAGGCUGAAUAACUUCAGGACCACUGAAUCCUCAAUCUUCAGAAAAGAGAACGAGAAAGAAUGUUCUCAGUUACAACUGGGACAUUUGGGCCCGAGGCAACACUAUGGACAACGUUGUACCAAACCAGGAGCGAUGGAUCAACACAGCAGCAACCUCUUGCUUAGUGAGCACUGUGUCCUCCUUGGGGCGCUGGAUGGAGUUGGGGUCUGGGAGCCACUAACACCUCUUGACGGAUGAUGGCGAGAAGAGAAGUUCCAAAAGAGCGGGGUGGCUGGUGUGGGGGUGCUGUGAAAGUAACGGGACAGAGAUUUUGCCUCUUCCCCUCCACCUUUUGUACUAAUAUUUUAAUAAUCUUUUCCCCAUGACCUUGCCUCUCUCUAUCUCUUGGGGUAUGUCUAUAGUCUCAGUAUUUGGCCUUAGCUAAAAGAAAAUUUCCUUACUAUUCUUCUUUAUUUUACAGUUUUCCAAAGAUAUUCUUCUAAUAUAGCCUUUUGCCAUUUGUCAUUCUUCUCUCUCGUCAUUGCGUAUGAGCAUUCUUUCUUGCUUAUUUCUGUCGAAUGAUCUAUCCUUCUAGGUCUGUCUCAGGCGCCUUUAUGGAGUCCCCUUGGAUGGAGAUGCUUCCCUUCUGUGGAGCCUCACAGCACUUAGUUUCUAUGGCUUCUGUGAUCAUCAGCAACCUGGCAUGUGCUUGCAUUAGAUUUACUGCUUGCCCCACCCUUCAGAUUCCUUAAGGCAGGAAUUGUGGCAGGAAUUGUCUUGUAGUCAGGCCCGCCCUUGGCACAUUGUACCAGCCUGAUACAUAUUUACUGAAUUCAACUGUAAGUGCCAAUUUGGGAGGAAAGGACAGACGUACCCCGAGCAUAAUACAUUUAAAGAAAGUAGAGAUGAUUUUCCAUAUUUCCUGAAGAAAUGCCUCCUAUGUAGGCCUCUGCUACAUGCAUAUAGGACAGGAAGUAAAAGGCGUGGCUAAAAACCAGAUGCUCAGAGAACUCUUCUUCACGAGGGACACAAGCUAUUAAAGAAAUCACCACCAGAGUUCUCCUUAUGAUGCAGUGAGCUAAUGAUCCGGCAUUGUCUCUGUGGUGGUGAGGGCCCUUGCAGUGGAUUUGCAGUGUGGUUGCAGCUGCAGCUCAGAUUUGAAUCCCUGUUGAGGGAAUGUCCAUAUGCCUCAGAUGUGGCCAAAAAAGAAAAAGAAAAAAGAAAGAAAUCACUACCACCUCUCAUUGCUUAUAGUAAGGGAAUUCUGAAUAACUCUUUCCUGGGGAGCCACUGAGUCAGAGGUUCACACCUGGUUAGGUAAGUGGUGGGUGUGGUCAGGGAAGAAGUGAUGAAUUUUUUUUUGGCCUCCGCACCAGCAUCAGCUAUUUAUGUAUCAGUGAUGCAAAUUUCUUUUUUUUUUUUUUUUCUGUCUUUUGUCUUUUGUUGUUGUUGUUGUUGGUAUUUCUUGGGCCGCUCCCGCGGCAUAUGGAGGUUCCCAGGCUAGGGGCCGAAUCGGAGCUGUAGCCACUGGCCUACGCCAGAGCCACAGCAACGUGGGAUCCGAGCCGCGUCUGCAACCUACACCACAGCUCACGGCAACGCCGGAUCGUUAACCCACUGAGCAAGGGCAGGGACCGAACCCGCAACCUCAUGGUUCCUAGUCGGAUUCGUUAACCACUGCGCCACGACGGGAACUCCCAGUGAUGCAAAUUUCCAUAUGCAGAAUCUUGCUAUUGUUCAAAGUGCUUUUAUACACAUGCCCAAACAAGAUCGAGUGAGGUGAGCUGUCUGGAAAAGGAGCUUGACAGAGUAGGUUCAAAGGAUACCUCAAUUCCUGGACUGGGCCCGGAACAAGGUGGGAAAGAAACAGAACUUCCCUGCUCUGACAGUGUUAGCAUGGAGAUGUCUAGCAACCAAUCUGAUAUGAGAAUCAGAAGCUGAGGAGAGAGAGAGAGUGGGCUAGAGAGUAGAUUUCAGAGUCAUUGGUAUGUAAAUGGGAAUUAAAGCGCUGAUAGUGCUCCAGGUCACCCGGGGAGGGUGUGAGGAGGAGGAGGGAGACGGACUGGAGAUGGAGUCCCAACACUUAGGGGGUGAGGGGAGGACAAGACGCCUGAGAAGGCCAGGAAGGGAUGGCUGAGAGGUUAGGAAGAGGUCAGAGAGGAAGUCAUUAUGAAAAUCAUGGGAGACUUCUGAGGGAGGGAGGGGGGGAGACAGAGAGAUUGGGAAUCAGUCCCAGUGGAUGCAGCAGAGUUUCUGUUGUAAAGUAAGAACCAAAAUGUGCCUAUCUGAUUUGGGUUGGGGCACUGGGAGACAGGGAAGGAAUCCUUGAGGUUCAGGUGGAUGAAAUGCUUUCCCGCACAGAGACAGAGAAUCUGGGGAAGAAAGGCAAGUUUUAGUACAGCUGUAAAGAGAGAAGAAACCUUGGGCAAAACUCAUUAAACAAGAGAAUGGGAUCUGGGACAGAGAAUGGAAAGACCCGCUUUAUCUAUGAGAAUCUGUUGGGUCUGUGUCCGGAUGGGUACUGGUUUUGGGAGCCAGUAAACUUUCUACUUCUUAAAACUCUGUGCUAGCAGUUCUCCUGUGGUGCAGUGGGUUAAGGAUCCGGCAUUGCCACUGCAGUGGCUUGGGUUGCUGCUGUAGUGAGGGUUCAGUCCCUGGCCUGGGAACUUCCACGUGCUGUGGGCGCAGCCAAAAACAAAACAAAACAAAACUCUGUGCUAUCCACAUACUUGCUAAACACACAGAAGCCAUGAUACAAAUGUUGAACAGGGCAGGACUGAGGUGAGAACCUUCUAGCACCUUUGGAUACUUUCAUUUAAUCAGCUCCAAUUUCUCCUAACUGUACAAUUAUCUAUUCCAUCUGUCACCAUUUGUUCCAGAAGGAUGUGAUUUGAGAUGACAUGAAAUGCCAUAAUCAAAUGCAGACCCUUGUCUAUCACGCUGCCUCAUUUUGUCAGUCCACAACCCUGACAGGAGAACAUGACUUGAGGACAGUCUGGCAUGACCUUCCCUUGCUGAGUCCCCAUGAGACCUUGGUGGCCACAUUGACUUCUCCUAAGGGCUCACAAAACACCUUUUUUACAUCUCAUUUGAGGAUUUUUGCCUAACACAGGCCACUGAUGAGUAAUUUUUAACAUUCCUCUCUUCCCCAUCUUUGGAAGUCAGAGCUACACCAUCUCCUGCCUUCUAACAUCUCUCUGCCCCUCUGCGACUCCUCAAAGAUUGUUGGCAGUGAGUUGGUGAUACUCUGUUAUUGAUUUAUUGAUUGACUGACUAAUUGUGCUUUUUGAGGCCGCACUUGCACUUGCGGCGUAUGAAUAUUCCUGGGGCAGGAUCGGAGCUGCAGCUCCUGGGCUACGCCACAGCCAUACCAAUGCGGGAUCUGAGCCAUGUCUGUGACUUACACCACAGCUCAUGGCAACCAUGGAUCCUUUUUCUUUUUUUCUCUUUUUUGUCUUUUUGUCUUUAGGGCCACACCUGUAGCAUGUGGAGGUUCCCAGCUAGGGGCCCAAUUGGAGCUGUAGCCACCAGCCUACACCACAGCCAUAGCAACGUGGGAUCUGAGCCACGUUUGGGACCUACACCACAGUUCACAACAAUGCCGGAUCCCUGGCCCACUGAGCGAGGCCAGGGAUCAAACCUGUAACCUCAUGGAUGCUAGUUGGAUUCGUUACUGCUGAGCCACAACAGCAACUCCUUAUUUCUUUCUUUCUUUAUUUAGUACAAUGGUGUGGAGACCGGACAGUUUGAACACAUUUAGAACAGCUAUAUUUUGGAAUUCCCUUCAUGGCUCAGCAGUUAACGAACCUGACUAGGCUCCAUGAGGAUGCAGGUUGGAUCCCUGGCCUCACUCAGUGGGUUAAGGAUCUGGUGUUGCCAUGAGCUGUGGUGUAGGUCACAGACGCAGCUUGUAUCCAGUAUUGCUAUGGCUGUGGCAUAGGCUGGUGGCUGUAGCUCCGAUUUGACCCCUAGCCUGGGAACUUCCAUGUGCCAUUUGCUGCAGGUGUGGCCUUAAAAAGCAAAGAAGAAAGAAAGAAAAAGAAGAGCUAUAUUUUCUCUUACAUUCUUUCUCAGGUGUUGGAUUCUGAAUCCUGCUUAUCACAUUGUUCCACCCUAUUCCCUUCUAACACCUUGCUUCUAAUUGAGAAGUUGGAAGCAUUAAAAAGAUUCUGUCUCACUCCGUCAUCUGGAAACUUGACACAAUUGGUCACCAGCAAAGGUGACCUCCCUACCAAGACAAAUUUCCUUAUCUUUCCCUGCAGAGAUCCAGAUACCAUCAAGUUCAAUGCCCUGACACUUAUGGCGUGAUUGAUAGAUUCUAAUGGAAAAAUGGGAACGUAAAAGACAAAAAGGAAUAACGCUAAAUAGGACGUGUGCACACGUUUUUUUCUGCAACUACAAAGGCCCUGCCCCAGCUCACUGUGUAAUUUCAUGUUUCUAAUUUAUUUGGCCACCAGAUGGCAUAACUGAGUGCAAUUUUUUUUUAAAGGUAGGGGAAGACAGCCUUUCUAAAACCCCCCAACAAAACGUUAUUAAUCAAUGCCGAAAAGGCCCAGGAGAAAUCACAUUCCAAGUAUCUGUUCUAAGCAACAGUUGAUAUUUUGAUAUAGUUUCCUCUCCAUAGAAGUACAGAGAAAUACCUUUUUUUUUUUUUUUUUUUUGUCUUUUUAGGGCUGCUCGCAGCAUAUGGAAGUUCCCAGGCUAGGAGUUUAAUCAGAGCUACAGCUGCCGGCCUACACCACAGUCACAGCAAUGCCUGAUCCUUAACCUACUGAGCCAGGACAGCAACCAAACCCACAACCUCAUGGAUCCUAGUCGGAUUCAUUUCUGCUUUGCCACAACGGGAACUCCAAGAAAAAACUUUUUUAACCUUAAAAUUCCUGAGAUAGGCCUCCUGGAUUUCUCUUCCCCUCCCGUGGCUGUGGCUGUAUAGAAAGCUCCCUGGGAGUCGGAACUAGAAGCGGGUUGUCUUUACCUGCAUCUAAUAUGUACUUCCCUUGGCUACAAACUCCUCACUAUGGAGCCACUGAAUUUCU